rnacentral:rRNA from 1 species
UACGUAGGGGGCUAGCGUUAUCCGGAAUUACUGGGCGUAAAGGGUGCGUAGGUGGCUUCUUAAGUCAGAGGUGAAAGGCUACGGCUCAACCGUAGUAAGCCUUUGAAACUGGGAAACUUGAGUGCAGGAGAGGAGAGUGGAAUUCCUAGUGUAGCGGUGAAAUGCGUAGAUAUUAGGAGGAACACCAGUUGCGAAGGCGGCUCUCUGGACUGUAACUGACACUGAGGCACGAAAGCGUGGGGAGCAAACAGG